rnacentral:rRNA from 11 species
UUAUGAUACCAUACUACAUUGAAUACACCUAAUUUUGUUUGAUUUCAGAAGCCAAACAGCAUUGGACCUGCUUCGGACCUGGAUUGGAGACUUCCAGAAACCUCCAGAUGCACCUAGC